ACCACAAGUCAAGAGGGGUCUCCUUACCCCUGGUGAACAUGUGUCUGUGGUUCAGUUUGCCAUUCUUAUCACUGUUUAAGUUUUUACUUUUUUUUUUUUACAUCUGUUGUAGCUUCUUGACGUUUACUGCUCCUUGGAUGUUUCUUCCUCGUUAAACCGUCACUUUUGGAGGAAGCAGGAAUGAGUCGCCCUAUUUUGAAGCUGCUGGGGUUAUUACGGCUAUGACGUCAAAAUCUUCUGCUCCUCUACUACCACUGUGAGCAACAAAUGGUCGUGGAGAACAGCAUGUGUCAUUAGAUCCACCCCGGAGUACAACCAGGAGUUGGCCAGAAGAAAGUUACGGCUCUCUGCAGACAGAUGGGACUCCAUGCUUUCCUACGGGAGCUGGUCCACCGAGGAAACUGAACACCCCCAACGGACAGGCUAUCACCACACAACGACGUUGUUUCAGAUUUGAGCUUUGAAGGAUGGAUUUGCCUCAUGACAGACAUGGAUUCUGGCAGAUCAAUCUGCUAUGCAUGGAUCAGCGCUGCAGGUUCCCUAGCUAAUGCCCUGUGAGAAAGAGACACUGCGGUCCAGGGUGGAGUAAUCACACUUCUAGGAGUGAUUCUCAGCAGGGGGGACCUGGAUGUUGUCCAUCCAUUCUGGACACACCUGAACUCAGCAAGGGAGCCAGCGCCACACCUCGUCUCACCAGGUAGAAAGAGGGAAGUGGACUCCACCGAAAACAGUGGGACUCUAAUUCACAGCUUUACUGUUUCUCCGCCCAGAGCCUGUGAAAUUGCAUGUUGAUGCACCUACUGACAGAUCAUUGCCUUAUGUGCUUGUUACCAGUGUAGGACGGCCAACAAACACUUUAAAACCUGAAACAAUAGGAAGGAGAUGACUGGAGUGUGAUGGUGCCACUUCACCCAACCUGCCAAAGUGUGUCUUCACACCUCGUGUUCCAGCACCUGACCAAACCUUCGCCCUGGGCCAUUGGUGCCACACCAAACCAUCGACAUUCCUUCAUGACUUAUGAGUGCAGUGGUAAGAGAUGGAGAUCUAAUGUGAAGAGGAAACCCUAAUGUCACUUUAUGAUGCAAGACUCUACAUACUAGCAUCUUAUUAUUGUCAAAGUGAUACGUGUUUUGGAACAUUGCAAACAGGAACAUUUGGUGCAUUUACAUGCAAUAAGAAAAAGAUAAUUAUGUUUUUUUAAUUCUCUUUGUAAAUGUUUAUCUGACUCACACCAACAGUAUGGUCUGUCCUCUUUGUGAAGUGACUUGAGACCACAUUGGUUCUGGAGUGGGGCUAUAUGAAUAAAGACUAAUUGAGUCAUUGACCUGGAAGUCGAACAGCAUAAACGCACAGGAGAGCAGAAUUGUACCAGUUGUCUGUCAUCAUGUGUCACCAUUGGCAUGAGGGACAGUGUGCAUUGUAUUAAUCCCAAAUAGAAAUUAAAAAAAAACAUACAAAAUUAACUUUACUGUUUGACAUACAAUUGUAAACUGGAAGUCAAAAUGGCCUUAAUGAUUUUAUACCAUAGCUCCACUUGACCAUGCUUGUAAAUACACUUAUCGUGCUAUGCCUCACAUUUCUGGGAGCCAAUUUCCACCAUUUAAAUUUUUUAAAAAGGGGGGGAGUGGAGGAUUGAGAUAAGGUAUUUAUUAAAUAUCUAAAAUCUUAAGUCAAAUCUAUGGGAUAAAGAGUCCCAACAAUGAGAUUAAAAGUCAAAUUUAUAAGAUAAAAUGUCAAUAUUAUGAGAAAAAAGGUACGAUUAUGGGAGAAAAAAAGCAAUAUUAUGAGAUUAAAGAGUCAAGAUUAUUAGAAAAAUAGAAUUUGUGAGAUGAAAGUCAUAAUUAUUAGAUAAAACAUCAAAAUUAUGAUAAUUAGCUGAAAAUAUGAGAAAUGAAGUCAAUAUCAUAAAAUUUAAAAAAUCAAGGUUAUAAAUCAUUUUUUGACACAAAGGUCAAAUUGUCAUAUAAAACGCCAUGAACUUAAAAUAAAGACUCAAACUUAUGUGAUAAAAGUCAUAACCAUGAGAUAAAAUGUCAAAAAUAAUAGAAAUAGUUGAAUUAUGACAUAAAAAGUCAAAUUCAUGAAAUAAAAGUCAAGAUAAUUACAUAAAAAGUCAAUUGUAGGACAAAAAACUCAAACUGUUAGAUAUAAAAGUCAUAAUUAUGACAUAAAAGUCAAAUUAUGAGAGGGAAAAAAACAUAAUUAUGGAAUAAAAUCUCUUGAGAUCAGUCAUAGUUAUGACUUUUAUCUUUGAGAUAAAAGUCAUAACUAUGAGAUAAAAUGUCACAAAAAAUUAGAAAAAGUCAAAUUUUUGAUGAAAAAGUCAAAUCCAUGAAAUAAAAACUCAAGAUUUUAACAUGAAAAGUAAAUUUUAUGAGAAAAGGUCAAAUUGUCAGAUAAAGAAUUAAAAUAAUGAGAUACAAAUUAUAAUUAUGCAUCUGAGUAUGAGCUAUAAGGUCCAAGGUAUGAAAUAAAAAUCAAAAUUUUGAGAUAAAAAGUCAAAUUAUGACGGUCAUAAUUAUGAAAUAAAUCUAAAUUAUGGAAUAAGAGAUGUAAUUUUGACUUUAAUCUUAAUUAUGGUUUACUAUUCAAUAAUUUUGACUUUUUUAUUGUAUUUCAGUGUAUUAUUAUGACCUUUUAUGACAUAGUUUCACUUUUAUCUUAUAGUUUUUGACUUUUCAUUUCAUAAUUAUUACUUACUUUCUCAUCAUUUCAACUUAAGACUUUUUUUUCAUCAAUACUUCAUUAACUUUAAUAUUUUUUAUUUUCUUUACUAAGAGGUGAAACUGAGCUUCUGUACAUAUUCAACCAAAACAACAAUAAGCACAAAAAAAAAGAAUCUGUUUUCACAUUGCUUCUUGUCCAUGUUUACUUAGAAAAGCUGGUUCAUAAGAGUUUUUUUCAGUUGUAUCUAACACUUAACAAAUCAAUACUAAUUGGAUGGAUUCAAAGGUGUCUUCUGCAGUCAUAAAAAGCGUGAUUGCAUGCAUGCAUGUGUUUGCUGUGGCUUGCACAGGCAUGUUGUGGUGUGAUGCAUUCACGUGCGCCUCUGCGUGAACCCUCCCAGUCUUUAGCAGCCUUCCUUCACCUGAUGCUCUACCUGUCUCAUGCAGCGGGAGAGGAGUCACACUGAGGAAUGCCUGUUGCCAUUUAAGCUCCAUUACUACCUGCUGCUGCCCUAUUCUCCCUGCCCUCUAUUGCCUGGGGUUCAUAUUGGAUAAGAGCCGUAAAGCCCCACGUUUCAUGGGGCUGGGCCGGGUGUAAUUGGAGGGAGGCAGGCCCCUCAUUCCCAGCACCGUGGGGGGCUACAAUCACAGGCUUGCCCUAGCCUUUGGGCCGCUCCACCAGGAGCUAAAGAGGGUCUAAAGAGGGCACCGCAGGGGACGAUAUCAAACACCCCCAGAGUCCUGGGAUAACAGCAAAUAACACUGCAGGAGAGAGAACACACACACCAGCAGCACACAGUCACAGCCACUCUGUCUGUCAGGACUUGUUUAUUGCACUGAAUAAUGCAUUGUGCUCUGUAACGCAGCAUGCAGAAAAAGGUGUUUUGGUGGGACAGGCAUUCGGAAAUUAAAGGGUCCCGUCUGAGAAGUUUGUUUAUGCUGCUGAUUUAUGGUUCUGUGGAAGUUAAAAAACAGAGUAAGCAAGAAAUCAAGAUAUUUAUAACACAAAACAUACCUAUUAUGUAUAUUUUAAUUAGAACAAUGCUAACUUGGUUUUUAUGAAUGUGAGGCACAUUAACACUGUGCAUGUUCCUGAAUAUUAAUUUUCACCAUCUAAUAUAAAGUUACUAAACUUUUUCAGCUCAAGACUGAAGUUAGAAUUCUCCCCAGGAACCAAACUUCCAAAAAAUAUAUCAUUUAUCACUAAAAGUGUGUAUACUAGAGUAGAACAAACAAAUAAAGAAUUCUAAGCUGUUUUAUUUUAAGUUUUGGACCUGUAUAACUCAUUUUCUUAGGCUUUUUUUGAUGUAUUUUGGGCACUGCCACUAAUAAUAAGAUUAUUUUGACAAGUGAAUUAAUCUGUGUACUAUUUAAUAUUUGGUUUAAAAAAAAGAAAUACAAAAAGAGUAACCAAAUUUGUGAGAAAGCCAGUGAAAUUAGUGGAAAAAGUAAACUACAGUAUUCGUAGGUGACUCAGGUGACUAUUAAACUAAAAAAAAACUUUCUCAAGAAAUGUUUCUUUUUUUAUUUUGUAUGCCGGUUUUGAGCAAACACGAUCUCACUUCCUGUACAAAUACAAACUGACAUCUGCAGGUUCCUUUUUUAGCUUUUAUAAUAAAAGUCAGUGUACAGGUUUAAUAACCCCUGAUGAGGCGCUUAGAUCUUACAAUUUUUUUUGUAUCGUAAAAUAAAUUAAAAUUAAAAUUGAAAAAAAUUAAAAACAUAAAAUUGUUUGGAUUUGAUGCUUUUUAUUUAAUUCAUUAUUUUUCUUUUUUUAAUUUUGAAGCUUUCAUUACUGAGCCUAUAACCACAGUUCGUACUAUGGGGGAGCUACAAGAGAGUUUGCCCCCCCUGGAAGGAGCACAAGCUCACCUGAUAGCCUCAAAUGAGGCAUUUAAGAGGAGCUCUAAAAAGUUGUCAUCAUUUAUUUAUUUAUUUGAAUUUAUUUAACAAGGAGAAUCUCACUAAGGUCAAGAAUCUCAUUACAGAGCGCCCUGGCCGAGGCAGCAUCACAUUUAUCAGACUUAUAGACAUGAAACAUAAAAACUAUUAUAAGCACAAAUCAGACAAAUCCAUGUGACAGAGCAAUAAGUCAUCAGUUAAAACAUCUACAACCCGAUCCAUCAUCCUCCAACACCUGCAAUCUGCUUUUUAAAAGAGACCAGCUCUCCCAUUCUACUGUAGGAGAGUCCAGGCAGCAGGGGCAGCACCUUUUACCUGUUUCAUGGUGGAUUUUGGGCACAGAUAGCAAAAGUGAAUUUUUUUACUGUGUCACAGAGAGAAGACAGUAACUUCCAGAACUUGUCACAUUAAUCUAAUCACACAAGUAUGAUGGAGAUUUAGAAUAGGCUUAAAAAUAAGGAUACGUCAGUGUGUUUGUCUAAAAAUGUACUUUUUAGAGGAAACUUAAAUAAAAUGUCAUUUUUUCCUUUCAGAAUGCUAACUGUUCAGGAUUCCCCAUACAUAAUACACUGUUUUUGUACAGAAAAUCCUGCAGAUAGGAGGUUUUGCACUUUGGUCAUCGAUAUGUGGUUAAAGAAGGUCAUCCAACUCGAUCAUACAUGUGGUGUUUUACUUUGUACAUUUUGAUUUAUUUUGGUAACUUCCGGUUUCCGGAGUCACUCCUGCUGGCCGCUAACUUUUCUUUGUGUUCCCUGAGGCAAUCUCCCCUCCCCCUCCCCGGGUGCUGUGGAGAGAUCACACCUGCAGCGAGUUCUCAUCAAGAGGGACUACUUAAGAUCGGCUGCAGCUCUCCACCAGCGCCUGAGUUUUGACUACCUUCCCUCGCGUGCCUCACUCCCCGCUCACUGCAGCCAGCUCCAGCACUCUCUCUCACUCCGGACUCUUGGACUCUCAUUCCCUGAUUGUUUACCUGUGCAAAUAAAACUGUUAAAACUG